UACGAAGGGGGCUAGCGUUGCUCGGAAUUAUUGGGCGUAAAGGGCUCGUAGGCGGUUUGUCGCGUCGGGAGUGAAAAUCCAGGGCUUAACUCUGGACUGGCUUCCGAUACGGGCAGACUAGAGGUAUGCAGGGGAGAACGGAAUUCCUGGUGUAGCGGUGAAAUGCGCAGAUAUCAGGAGGAACACCGGUGGCGAAGGCGGUUCUCUGGGCAUUACCUGACGCUGAGGAGCGAAAGUGUGGGGAGCGAACAGG
rnacentral:rRNA from 1 species